GACGAACGCUGGCGGCGUGCUUAACACAUGCAAGUCGAACGGUGAAGCGCCUUCCUUUUUGGUGGGUGUGGAUGAGUGGCGAACGGGUGAGUAACACGUGAGUAACCUGCCCCCUUCUUCUGGAUAACCGCAUGAAAGUGUGGCUAAUACGGGAUAUUCUGGGUCUGUCGCAUGAUGGGUCUGGGAAAGAUAUUGUUUCGGUGGGGGAUGGGCUCGCGGCCUAUCAGCUUGUUGGUGGGGUGAUGGCCUACCAAGGCGGUGACGGGUAGCCGGCCUGAGAGGGUGGACGGUAGCACUGGGACUGAGACACGGCCCAGACUCCUACGGGAGGCAGCAGUGGGGAAUAUUGCACGAUGGGCGCAAGCCUGAUGCAGCGACGCCGCGUGAGGGAUGGAGGCCGUCGGGUUGUGAACCUCUUUCGCCAGUGAAGCAGGCCUGCCUCGUUUGUGGGUGGGUUGACGGUAGCUGGAUAAGAAGCGCCGGCUAACUACGUG
rnacentral:rRNA from 1 species